CUACGGGCGGCAGCAGUGGGGAAUAUUGGACAAUGGGGGAAACCCUGAUCCAGCGAUGCCGCGUGUGUGAAGAAGGCCUGCGGGUUGUAAAGCACUUUCGGUAGGGAGGAAAUGCUCAAGGCUAAUAUCCUUGAGAGUUGACGUUACCUGCAUAAGAAGCACCGGCUAACUCUGUGCCAGCAGCCGCGGUAAUACAGAGGGUGCAAGCGUUAAUCGAAGUUACUGGGCGUAAAGCGUGCGUAGGCUGAUAUUUAAGUCAAGCGUGAAAUCCCCGGGCUUAACCUGGGAACUGCGUUUGAUACUGGAUGUCUAGAGUAUAAUAGAGGAAAGUGGAAUUUCCGGUGUAGCGGUGAAAUGCGUAGAUAUCGGAAAGAACAUCAGUGGCGAAGGCGACUUUCUGGAUUAAUACUGACGUUGAGGCACGAAAGCGUGGGGAGCAAACAGGAUUAGAUACCCUUGUAGUC
rnacentral:rRNA from 1 species